ensembl:miRNA
CCUCGACUCACUUUGUAGCCCAGGCGGGCCUCAAAUUCACAGGGAUCCUCCUGCCUCAGCCUCCCAAGUGCUGGGAU